AAUGUUUUCAAUGGGGAAACUAGGGCUCCGUGAGUUUGAUUGACUUUGCCCAAGGUCACAUGGCUGGUGAGGGGGCAGACUCAAGAUUUGAGUCCAGGCAUUUUGCUCCCGUGUAUACACUAUGUGUACAAAGGACCUGGCACAAAGCAGCCAGGUCAACAGAGCGAGACUCCAUCCGUCUCAAAAAAAGAAAACGAAAAUGGAUCCUGAAUUUUGAAAUAUGCUGUGUGACUCUUCCCUAGUUUGGGACAUCUGGGUCAAUCCCUUUUGUUAAAGUAGUUUAUUUAGCUGGCUGAGAGCGGGAGCUGCCUACGGAUAAGAGCUCAGUCUCCUUCCCAUCCGAUCCAGACACCCUCCCCAAGGCAAGCACGUUUUGGUGUCCUUCCAGACAAAAUUUAUGCAAUAUAUAUGUUCCCCCUUUUUCUCCUUCCCUUCCUUUUUCCUUUAUUUAAAACAAAAUUUUUCCUUCACCACAGUCUUCUUAAUGCUGUUUUGUUCCUAAUCUAAAAGGUGGUUUUAAAACCAGUGCCUGAUUGUUUUAGUUCCUACUGCUCCUAGGAGUGAACCUGAGCAUCUUCCCACUUGCAUCUCCUUUUCUGUUUACUGUUUCUUCAAAUUCUUUUGCCCACUUCUAAUGGAUUUUAGGUCUUUUUCUUAUUGAUUUGUAGGAGUUCUUAAUAUAUUAAGGCAAUUAGUCUUUUGUCUAAUUAGGAGUUACUAGUAUUUUUUACUUGUCAUUUGUACUUUGACUUUAUUUUCGGCACUUCUCCCCACAUACAUAUUUUUUAUAUUCAUUAGUAAAAUUGAUCUUUAUUUUAUUUUAUGGUUUCUGGGCUUUGUAACAUAAUUAGAAAUGUCUUCCCCACUCUAAGAUUAGUAAAGAAAUCCCUUUGUUUAUUUCUGGUACUUUGUUUUUUGAGACAGGGUCUGGAGUCACCCAGGCUGGAGUGCAGUGGUGCCAGCCUAGCUCACAGCAACCUUGAACUCCUAGGCUCAAGAGAUCCUCCUAGCUUAGCUUCCUGAGUAGCUGGGACUACAGGUGCAUACUAAUGUGCCCAGCUAAUUCUUUUUUUUUAAGAGAUGGGGUCUCACUAUGUUGCCCAGGCUGGUUUUGAACUCCUGGGCUCAAGUGAUACUCCUGCCUGAGCCUCCCAAACUGCUGGGAUUACAGGUGUGAGCCACCACGCCUGGCCUCUCUAGUACUUUUAUGGCUUCCCUUUUCACAUUUAAAUCUUUGAUCUAGAAUUUAUCUGUAAUAAGGUAUGAAUUAGCGAGCCAC
rnacentral:lncRNA from 1 species